rnacentral:tRNA from 1 species
GGUGGUUGUAGCUCAGUUGGUAGAGCGCCGGAUUGUGGUUCCGGACGGCGCGGGUUCAAGUCCCGUCAGUCACCU